AUUGAACGCUAGCGGCAUGCCUAACACAUGCAAGUCGAACGGCACGCGGGGGGAGCUUGCUCCCUGACGGCGAGUGGCGGACGGGUGAGUAACACGUAGGAAUCUACCUUAAUUAUAAUAGUUAGUGGGGGAUAACCCGGGGAAACUCGGGCUAAUACCGCAUAAUCUCUUCAAAGCAAAGCGGGGGAUCUUCGGACCUCGUGCUAUGAGAUGAGCCUGCGUCGGAUUAGCUAGUUGGUAGGGUAAUGGCCUACCAAGGCGACGAUCCGUAGCUGGUCUGAGAGGACGAUCAGCCACACUGGGACUGAGACACGGCCCAGACUCCUACGGGAGGCAGCAGUGGGGAAUAUUGGACAAUGGGGGAAACCCUGAUCCAGCAAUGCCGCGUGUGUGAAGAAGGCCUUCGGGUUGUAAAGCACUUUCAGUGGGGAAGAAAUUCUCAAGGCUAAUACCCUUUUGAGCGUUGCGUUACCCCA
rnacentral:rRNA from 1 species